UGUGAGUGUGAACAUGUAAGGAUUACAAAAGUUUUGCUAUGUAUAAUUGUGUAUUGAUAUUCUCACUAUGCUUGGGUUGUGCUUGAUCUUCUUGAUGCUUGCGAGACACUACUGAUGAAAAUCAGUUAUCAAGUGAUCUUAUAAUAAGUCUGUAGUUGGAGAGAGUACUAGCUGCUAGUGUUAGUUGAUUUAGUAUAGCGAAG
rnacentral:misc_RNA from 1 species